GUAUAGGGCAAUCUGUCUUUAAGUAGGGAUAAAUGACUCAAAAAAAAAAAUCCUAUUUUUCCCUUCAAGUCAAGCAUCUUGG
rnacentral:pre_miRNA from 1 species